AAAUUGAAGAGUUUGAUCAUGGCUCAGAUUGAACGCUGGCGGCAGGCCUAACACAUGCAAGUCGAACGGUAACAGGAAGCAGCUUGCUGCUUCGCUGACGAGUGGCGGACGGGUGAGUAAUGUCUGGGAAGCUGCCUGAUGGAGGGGGAUAACUACUGGAAACGGUGGCUAAUACCGCAUAACGUCGCAAGACCAAAGAG
rnacentral:rRNA from 2 species